UACGUAGGGUGCGAGCGUUACUCGGAAUUACUGGGCGUAAAGCGUGCGUAGGCGGUUCGUUAAGUCAGCUGUGAAAGCCCCGGGCUCAACCUGGGAACUGCGGUUGAAACUGGCGAACUAGAAUCUGGCAGAGGGGGGUGGAAUUCCACGUGUAGCAGUGAAAUGCGUAGAGAUGUGGAGGAACACCGAUGGCGAAGGCAGCCCCCUGGGCUGAGAUUGACGCUCAGGCACGAAAGCGUGGGUAGCAAACAGG
rnacentral:rRNA from 1 species